CGACUGGACUUGGGUAUUUGAAGGAAAGAUACAAGUUCGCGAAGAAGUCUUCGAAUUGGCAAGCGAUCUGUAGUUGUGGCUGGAGAACGUCCACAUAAGGGAAAUAAAAAGUGUAUUGCCGUUUAUCCGCAACUUAAAACUCUGGACUAACUCAGACAAAUAAAUCCAUCUAUUCUGAAAUAAUCUCACCCAAUUCCGCACGGUUCCACUUAAACAUUCUUAAUCCCUGUUAAUCUUUUGAAAACCUUUCUAAUUCUGCAUACGAGGGAUUGUAAGUCCCUCGAAAUCCCUCAUAAAUCUCAAAUCUUCCUUAACUUACUUACACCCACUAAAUACUGUGUGAGUUCGGACAAGGUUGUCUGCAAGUAUAGGAGCGUGAUUUGGUCUGCUGCCACCAGAUUUCGUUCGAGCUGAAGAAAUGUACUAUGUUACUGUGGGCUGAAAGUAGUAAGACUUUUGAAUUAUUAUUCGUCGAAAUAUUUUUUCCUAGGAUGGUAUGACUGUCAGUGACAUCUCUGUAUGAAGUGUCACGUCAAAAUAUUCAUUAGUGUUCAGUAAACGUCUGUCUUUUUGAAGUUUUAAAAGUGCAAUCGGCGAUUUUUACAAUGAAUGAACAAAGAAGUUCCAUUAAACUUUAUGUGCGGAAUCAAAUGCAUGGUGCCGAAACGUUCAGAAUUUUGCAAAAGGCCUUCGGUGAUAAUUGUAUGUCGCAAGCAAGUGUUUUUGAUUGGUACAAGUUAUUCAAAGUAGGUCGAGAACACGUCACAUCAAAGCAAGUCAAAAAUCACAGUCAACAGUUUUCUUUGAUUAUCGAAGUUUGUUGCACUCCGAAUUCCAUCCUUCCAACCAAACUGUCAACAAGGAAUAGUAUUAGAGUGUUAAGGAGUAUAUUGAAAAUAAGCUAUCCACAAUUUUUUCUUUUAAUUAUGAUAAAAACGAUAUUCUAUUCAACCUGAAAAUUGAUCCUUUUUUGUACGAAAUUAAACUUGAGCAUUAUGAAAACCGGAUGAAAUUUAAGUUAUUCCAUCACGAAUUUGCGAACUUUUAAUCGAACGCUCUUCAUCAAGUUCCGGAUAAGUGUUACAUCGCUUUUUUUGGACGGUUGAGCCCAAAUUUUUGUGAACUCCUCCAUGUUCCCAGCUGCCUUAAAAGUCUUCCUGAAGACCCUCUUAACGAUUGCUCAGUAAAGUUCGAUGGGUCAAACCUGAGGGCAAUUUGGUGGAUUGAUAUUUUUCUCAACGUAAUUUAUACCCUUUUCCGCAAGCCAAUUGAGAGUGGUUUUGGCAUAGUGAGCCGACGCUAAAUCCGGCCAAAACAGUGGAGGUGUACUAAGUUUCUUAUAUAAAGGCAGCAAUCUCUUCUGGAGACACUCAGAUCGAUAAAUUUCUGCAUUUAUAGUUCCGGUAGUGUAAAAAAUGGUUGACUUCAAACCACAGGAACAUAUUGCUUGCCAUACCAGUACCUUUCGACCGAAUUUCUCCACACAUCUAAUACAGCUGUUGCGAAACAUUUCAAAAUCGUAAAUCGUCAGAGAAAAAAAAAACGAUUUGGCAGGCGAUUUGCGAAUGAACAACAACACCUUCCGAAAGUGCACAGUAAAACCCCGGAAGGUAAUGCCAGCGGAAUAACAAAUCACAAGCACUUACAUUCAUUCAUCAAUCAAUCCAGCCGUGGGCAGUGGUAUCAGUGGUCCCGGUGGUUUUACGACGGCGGUUAUAUUAUUGGAACCACGCGCCACCCUAAAAAUAACCUGGUUCAAGUCACCGCCAAAAGUACUUGAUAAUUGUACGUCGUCCUACCCUUCGCCGUAAGUGUCUAUUAUAGUCCCGGUACCCCCGGAGUGCGAUGAAGCCGACACCAAAAACAAAAAAAAACUCUCCGCCAUCGCAACGGUACAGUGACAUGCGGACAGUCGUCCCCCUUCCCUCUCGGGGACGGGGAUGAUGAAAAGCUAAGCUUCUGGAAGCUAAAAAAUAGACUGUUCUAAAGGCGAAAUGGGAUUAUGGAUUGGCUGCUUGACAUGGCUGGUUGGUUGGGUUGGGUGGCACGAGCGUACAUGUCGUGAGCCGUACCACGGACCUUUACCGAUCGCGCUUCCCCCCCUCCCCGGCUCUGCGGGCCAUCAAACCCCGCGAGUACGAAUGGAUGUCAGUCAGCCUGCCUUACGCUUCAAUGGUUACAAUUUCUCACACAGGAUCCGGUUGUUGUUUUUUUUUUCUUCUGUGUUCUCCCCGGCCGCGCUUGGUCUAUAGACAUAGAGGCCGCCACUGUCUGCUUUUGUUUAUCGUCACAUGAGAAGGUUCCACCGGGAAGGAAUAAGCCGAGAAUAAGCUCAAAAGCAAGUGACAUACGAGACAGCAACAAUGGCCCCUGCUUUUAAACGCGCUCGACCGUGUGUGUGUGUGGGAAUAUGUGCUGCAUCGGAAGGAAGAAGGCACAGUUGAAAAUCUACGGAAAAACCAUAGGAACUGACACUAACUGAAUAAAUGAUACGAAUGUAGUAAUGGAAUUUAUUCUCAGUACGCGAAGCUUACCGUUAUUUCUGUUUUUUUAUCCUUCUUUUGCUGCAGAAGCAGGCUUUGACGAUAAUGGAGCUCGGCGAAGGUGACAUAAUCGUGAUAUUUUGUGACGGCAAAAUUGGAUGAUUUUAAAGUGCCCAUUUCUAGGAAACCGGUACUCCCAGUUUGAAGGCCCCCAGUUAUUCAGCGGUUGACCCCGGAGCUCCGAUGGAUGCCAGCUUCGUUUGGCAGCAGUUUUGCGACGGAAUACGGGUAGGAACGAAGAAAGGGGCUUUCAGUACUUACCCCAAUUUGUGUUCCGGCGAUGGUGCCUCCCAACAAAUGAGCGAGACGAUGCGAGUAAUGGGCACUUUGACACUAUGAACUUGCAUCAUCUAGGCGCAAGGUCGCGAUUUGCAUUUUGAAACUUUUCGCUGUGCUGCUGCUGCUGCCGAUGCUGUUGUUGUUUUUGUUGCUGUUUGUGACGAUUGGAGCCGGCAGGGCUGCGAGAAUCUUAAUCUGAUAACAUUAGCAUAUUAGGGUGUUUUUAUUUUUUUUCUGGUGAAUUGAAAAUAAACUGUCGUCGGUACUUUGCAUCUUUUUUCUUUGCGAUGUUUUAAGUUCGAUAAUUGCGAAUAGUAAGCGAAGUUCUUCAGACCAUAUAAAGCAGAACGGUACGAAUACC